UCUUAUCUAGAGAGGUGGAGGGACUGGUCCUGUGAAGCCUCGGCAACCAUCAUAUAAUGAACGGUGCCAAUGCCAGUAGAAAUAUAUUCUAGUCGAUGAG
rnacentral:ncRNA from 1 species